rnacentral:tRNA from 1 species
GGAAAAGUGGCUGAGUGGCUGAAAGCGAAAAUUUCCUAAGUUUUCAAAAAUCUAUGAUUUUUCGAGGGUUCAAAUCCCUUCUUUUCCG